rnacentral:misc_RNA from 1 species
UGUAUCCUCAGCAAAGUUUGAACAUUCUGUCUUGACGUUGCAAUUCCUUCCUUAUUUCACCUUUAGGAAUGUGUUUCAUUCUAACCAGGACUUAUUGCUUGAUAUACACACCCAGUUUUAUGAAAUAAAUUUAAGCUUAAAACUUAUUACUAUGGAUGUUGCUCAGACAGACAAACCUGUUGAGACUAAAAUUUCUGAUAAAGUCCAUUUUGAAGAGUUAACAGGUCUGCUUGAGAAAAUAAAGAAAGCUCAAGGAAUUGAGAAAAAGAAGCAGAAUUUGAGGCUAUUUCUUGAUCAAUGGCGACAAAAACAUAAGGAACUGCAUAAAGGCAAGAAAACUACUGAUUCAUUUUACCCAGUGAUGCGGCUUUUACUUCCUCACCUGGAAAAUGAACGUGUUGCUUAUGGAAUCAAAGAACAUACAUUUGCAAAACUUUUAAUUAAAGUAUUAUGUCUUGGGAAAAACAGUCCAGAUGCUUCUAAACUUCUAAAUUUUAAUACUAAAAGAGAAGCUAACAAUGAUUUUGCCAGUGUAGCCUACUAUGUGCUGAAGAACCGUUGUCCCAAAAAUGGUAACCUGAGUAUCUCAGAUGUGAACAAAUGUUUGGAUGAUAUCGCAGUCUCCAAUACUAGCAAGAAACAUGAUGUUGUACAUGAAACAAUGCUUCACCUUUUGCGCAACAUGACUGCCAUUGAACAGAAGUGGUUGAUCCGCAUGGUAAUGAAGGAACUAAAAGUUGGUUUGAGUCAAAAUUCCAUAUUUGGUGUAUAUCACCCUGAUGCUGAAGAGAUGUUUAAUGUGAACAAUAAUCUUGAAAAGGUCUGUUUACAACUAUCAGAUCCUAACAUCAGAUCUCAUGAGAUUGCCAUUUCAUUAUUUACUCCAUUUUCACCAAUGUUAGGAGAAACUGCUCACCCAAACAAGAUUUCUGAAGUAUUGUCUGGGAAGCCCUAUUUGAUUGAGACUAAAUUUGAUGGUGAAAGGAUACAGCUUCACAAACAAAAUGAUGACUAUAGUUACUUCUCUCGAAAUGGACAUAAUUAUUCAAAAACAUUUGGAGCAUCUGCCUUUCAAGGCACCAUUACACAAUACAUUCAUGAGAGCUUUCUUCCUGGUAUCCAUUCCUGUAUCUUAGAUGGAGAAAUGCUUGGAUACAACUCAGACACUGGCGAGUUUGGAACCAAAGCCAAUCAUUAUGAUAUCAAAUCAGCUGACAGCGGUGAUUACAACCCGUGUUUCAUAGUCUUUGAUAUUCUAUUGCAUAACGAUAAAGUCUUGACAAAUUUACCAAUCACAGAGCGCCUACCAUACAUACGAGAGACCAUUGCACCCAUCAGUGGUAGAAUACAGAUUAGUCACUAUAAAAAAGGUGUAUCCAAGGCUGACUGCAUUGAAGCCUUGAACAAGGCAAUCGAUGACCGAGAAGAAGGAAUAAUGAUAAAGGACUGUGAAUCAGUGUAUCGGCCCAAAGCCCGACGAGAGGGAUGGUUCAAGGUAAAACCAGAAUAUGUUGAUGGUUUGAUGGAUCAACUUGACUUACUGAUUAUUGGUGGCUACAGAGGCACAGGACAUCGGUCCGGACUAAUGUCUCACUUCCUCCUUGCUCUUGCAAAGUCACCUAAAGAUGGUGAAAAACCAAAUAUAUUUCAUUCUUUCUGUAAGGUUGGGUCAGGAUAUACAAAAAAUGAAUUAACUGAACUCAAUGAAAAAUUAUACAAACACUGGAAAAAGAGUGAUGAAAACCCACCCAAGUCAAUUGUUUUGGCACCUGGAUUCAAAGAGAAACCAUCUGUUUGGAUUGAACCUUCUAAAUCAUGUAUUGUACAGGUAAAGGCAGCAGAAAUUGUAUCAAGUGACAAGUUUCAAACUGGUUGCACCCUCCGUUUCCCUCGAGUAGAGAAGAUUCGUGAUGAUAAAUCUUGGUUUGAAUGUAUGACAACUAGGGACUUGGAAGACCUGAAACAGAAAUCAGGAGGUAAACUGUCCAACAAAUUAGAUGAAAAUGUGGAUGAUACAACACCUGUCAAAAAGAAGAGAACAGUGGCGCCCAAAGUAGAGAAAAAAGGAGUGAUGGAGAGAUUCAAACCUUCUGAUACCUCUCAUGUGAAAAUGGUACACAAUAUCUUUGAUCAAAAGGACAUCUGUGUAGCGAAUGGUCCAAAGCUUUGGGACAAGGCUAAACUAGAGAAACAUGUAGUGCAGUAUGGAGGACAAAUUGUACAGAACCCAGAUUCCCAGACAUACUGUGUGUUGGCUGACAAGAAGACUUACCAAGUGAACCAUUAUAUCAAAAGUAAUAUUUACAACAUCAUUAAUGUCAGCUGGUUUUUAGAUUGCAUUGAAAAUAAAAAGCUGCUUCCUUGGACUCCCAAAAAUAUCAUCCAUGCAACAAAGGCCACAAUUGCUAAGAUAAGAGAAGACUUUGAUGAGUAUGGAGACAAUUAUACUUAUCACUCAACAUAUCAGGACUUGAAAGAUGUCUUUUCUACAAUGCAAUUGAGUAUAUGUGGACAACAAAUUGGACCCUAAUGAUGACAAUUACCUUCAGCAUUCUCCAUUAACAUUGUUGGCUAUGGAAAUGAGGUAUUUCGGAGCCACAGUUCUGCCAGUAUUGGACAAUUCAGUAUCCCACUUGAUAAUGGACAAAAAUCACCUAGAGAGGUUGGAUAUGUUCAAAUAUAAACGGUGCCAAUCAGAAAAGAAGUUCCACAUCCUUAAUUCAGAAUGGGUCAAAGAAUGUAUAAGAGAAGGUUGUUUAUGUCCAGAAAAGUUGUUUUUGCUGUAAACUU